CGUCGGUGCCUUCGCGACGAACAGCCGUUAACCCCGUCAGGCCCGGAAGGGAGCAGCGGUAGCGGUUCGUUUGGGCGCCGGAGUGUCGCUGGCGCAG
rnacentral:SRP_RNA from 1 species